UAAUGUAAAUACUGAGGUAUAGGAUACUAAGGUAUAUAUAAUGUAGAUACUGAGGUAUAGAUAAUGUAGAUACUGAGGUAUAUAAAAUGUAGAUACUGACCCCAGUACCGGUUAUGAAAGCCGUUCAGGCCACUAG